UCCCGGGCUGCGUGGGCUGACAAGCAUCUCCGGGGUUCUCAGGUGUGCGCACUUUCCAGGCUCCGCGGCUGAGACUCCGCCGGCAGCCCAGGCGGCGCCCACCUGCUCCCAACUACCCAGCGCCCCCCUCGGCCCGCGUAAAUCCAAGCCACCAGAUCCUGCCUCCUCCAGAUACUGCAAACGCUGACUGCGCCGACAGAAACUCAGAGGCCCUUUGAAUCUGGUUCAAGAGAAGCUCAACAGAAAGUGAAACAGCUCCCAUCCCUUGGGGGAGAAGGCUCCAGGCCAGGAAUUUACUGAAAGGACACAGAAAUGAAGAAUUGAUAAACCAGAAGUAAGGAGGAUAGGAGCCCAGGAAACUUGUUGAUUCACAGCCUCAGAUACACAUGGGUAGCCUUUGAAGACGCUGUCUUUGGAUGACUCAUUUACAGGUACCUCCAGUCCCCAUGUGUUUCUGCUCAAGAUUCAAAUUUCUGAGCGAGAUGAGCUGGUUGGCCUAUCUUGGGUCAUGUGCUCACCCCUGACUUUAACUCAGGUGGGUGGAGCCUGUGGUUGGAAACCCACCAGAAACAGACGAAAUGGGAUAGGUGCAGGUCCAGCAGGGUGCUGUUACUAGGAGAAGGAGAAGAACUUCCAAGGAGGGGAAAAAAGAUUUUAUAAAAACUGUCCUCAUCUUAUUAAUUUAAACAUUAUGGGGACUUCCCUGGUGGUGCAGUGGUUAAGAAUCCACCUGCUGAUGCAGGGGACACGGGUUCAAGCCCUGGUCCGGGAAGAUCCCGCAUGCCGCAGAGCAACUAAGCACAUGCGCCACAACUACUGAGCCUGCAUUUGAGAGCCCACGAGCCACAACUACUGAAGCCCACGUGCCUAAAACCUGUGCUCUGCAACAAGAGAAGCCACCGCAAUGAGAAACCCGUGCACCACAACAAAGAGUAGCCCCUGCUCACCGCAAAUAGAGAAAGCCUGCGUGCAGCAACGAAGACCCAACGCAGCCAAAAAUAAUAAAAAAAAAAUAAAAAGAUAAACAUUAGGAAAUGCACUUGUGAAAAGCCAAAUAAUGAGGAAUGUAGACUAAUACCUUACUCCUCAUCUUACUCUCAUCCCCAGAGGUCUUUAAGUCUUCUGUGGAACUUGAAAGCACAGCAUCUCCCUGCUUGUAAACUUGGCCACAGUGAGCUGGCUCCAGAAGGCAAUUUUAUUAUCCAUUAUUUGGUAUUAAGUGUGCAAUAAUUUUCCUUUCUUCAAAUUAUAAUCCACAAGUCCUACAUUAGCCAUCAGUGAAGAGACAAAGUGUCAGCUGUCUGUCUACCCUGGGAAGAAACUCAUAGCUUGAGUUUAUUCUUCAAAAUAUGGUGCAUGUAGAAUCCCCUCCACCUCCCCAACAUGAAGAUGGGUUCUUCAGGUAUUAGUGCCCUGAACGCCAGCAACUUCUGAGGUGCUGAGACUCAACCCUCUCCUGACCUGAUGGAUUUAGAAACAGAAAUGGGAACUGGUGCUUUGGCGAGAGAACCUAGCUAUAUCUCAGGUAAGGGAUGGCAGAACAUUUCAGUUCUAUCACCAACUGAACUGCUGUGUGUGUUUGUUCGUUUGUUUAUUUAUUCAAACAUCUUUAUUGGAGUAUAACUGCUUUACAGUGGUGUGUUAGUUUCUGCUUUAUAACAAAUUGAAUCGGCUAUAAAUAUACAUAUAUCCCUAUAUCACUUCCCUCUUGCAUCUCCCUCCCACCCUCCCUAUCCCACCCCUCUAGGUGGUCACAAAGCACCAAGCUGAUCUCCCUGUGCUAUGCGGCUGCUUCCCACUAGCUAUCUAUUUUACAUUUGGUAGUGUAUAUAUGUCCAUGCUAC